GACGAACGCUGGCGGCGUGCCUAACACAUGCAAGUCGAACGGAGAUAUUAAUGAAGCUUGCGAUUUAAUAUCUUAGUGGCGGACGGGUGAGUAACGCGUGGGUAAUCUGCCCUUAAGUGGGGACGAACAGUUGGAACGACUGCUAAUACCGCAUAUGCUGAGUAAUCAGUAAAGGUGGCCUCUGAAUAUGCUGCCGCUUAAGGAUGAGCCCGCGUCUGAUUAGCUAGUUGGUGGGGCAACGGCCUACCAAGGCGACGAUCAGUAGCCGGCCUGAGAGGGUGAACGGCCACACUGGGACUGAGACACGGCCCAGACUCCUACGGGAGGCUG
rnacentral:rRNA from 1 species